GUUUGCUGACUUGAUCAUUUACCGAUUCAUUGAAUCAAAUCUGUUAACUGUAAUCAAUACACUAAAAUAAGUUAAUGACAGUUAAUUGUGAUUACUUUCAAUCUGUGUUGAUUUCAUAGUUUUUUUUUAUAUAUUUCAUUGAUUGUUGUUGCUACCUUGAUUACCUUGAUUGUUAAUCAACAAUGUUUACACACUUAAUAAUUCAAACUUCUGUGCUGAGUCAAGAUUGUUUUUUUCUGCCUAAAUAUUGACCACCAUGCUAGCGAUAUUAUUAUUACAUAGACUGACCAUUGACCAGUAUAUUAGAUGAGUUUUUUAUGUAACUGACCAUUAGUAAAGGAAACGGACAUCAUUGGAUUUUAAUAAAACAUUUUAAUACUAAUGUUUGUUUUGUUAUCUUAAUAUUUUUUUUAUUAUUAUUAUACCAGAGGAUUUAUUAAUAUUAUCCAGAUGAUUAUGAUUUAUCUUAUUCUCAUUUUGGUCAUCAUCAGAUUGACCAUAAAUACGUUUGUGUGUUUAUCCGGUAAAUAGGAUUUAUCAUGAAGAGGGAAAAAAACAAUCUUACUUGAUGUCUAUUUACCAAUUCAUUCAUCUUGAUUUGAUUGAAUGGUCAAGAGGAUAAUCCUAUAAGAGAGAUAGAGUGGACAAUGGUGAAAAAUUUGUUUAAUGGUCAAGAUGAUUAAGGAUGAAGAUGAUAUGUUAAAAAGCGUAAAUGAAAGGCGUAGGAAUGAAUCUGCUACUUUUGGGUCGUCUUGAUGUAACAUAACAGGAAUAAGGGAAAUUAAUUCUUGACCAGGGGAAUCAUUUGUCAUCAUAAUCCAAUUAAAUAUACAUAAGGGGUCAGUAUUAUUCAAUGAACAAUAAAACACCAAAGUAACUAAAUCCAUAAAAUGACCAUAAUAAAAAAAAAAUGACGAUAAAAGAUGAUAAUGAUUAUUACUAUGAUGAUGAUAAUGAUAAUGACGCAGGGAUGUAAGUUAAAUGUUUUCCAAAUACUCAUUGGUCAGUAGUGGUCAUUAAUAUUUGGAAGAUGCAAUUAAUUGACAUUUGCUUUUACUUCAUCUACCAACCUUUUUACCGUUAUGUUUAUCUCUCUCUCUCUCUCUCUCUCUCUCUUGCUCCUUAUACUUUUUCUUAUUUUAACAUUGAUAUUAAAUACAUUGAUCAUUAUCCGGGGGUCAUUAUGAUGAUGAUUAUUAUUAUUAUCAUCAUUGAGUGGGUGAAUUUUUAAGGUGAGUGCGUAAAAAAGUGAGUGGACCUUUUGUUUGAUCUCACCCACUUUGCCCUCUAUUUGACCAUAAAAUUUGAUCUCUUGGUCCAUUAUGUUUAUCAUGUUAAUUGUAUCGGUCAGAUAACAAAAAAAAGUUAUGAAUCAACAUGAAAAGUAACUAUUUUUAUCUCAUUACAAAUGUUAUCUUAAUGACCCAACAAGAGUAAAAAUAAUCAACUUACUUUGCUAACUGUUAAUCAUAAUUACAUUUGGUUAGGUGAUGAUGAUGAUGAUGAUGAUGAUUAUCUAAAAUAUUGUAUACUGACCAUUGUGGUCAGUCAAAGAUCAUUUUUCUUUUUUACUUCUUUUUUGGUCAGAUUGACCAUUUAGUGAAUCUUUUUUUUUGUUUUCAUCUUCUGAAGCUUUUAGUUGUUAUUCAGCGUUAAGAUAUUUUAUCCUCAAGUAAAUCGCAUCCUAAUGAUAUUAGAUUAAGAUAAUGAUGCAAACACAUUAACACUUUGUUGUAGAUUAUACAAUCAAUAGAUUUGAUUACAUUGGUGAUUAUGAUUAAUCUGAUAAUUCCGGUUCUCACAAGAACCAACAAUCAAGUGAAAACUUUAACUUCCGUUUUAUUUGAAAAAAAAACUUUUCAAACAUUUUAAACUUUUAAAAGUAAAUUUGUUUCCAUUGCCGUUGAACAUUUUGAUUAAUUGACUUUCAUUUGAUGUCGCGAGUCAAUGAACAGUUACAAUCGAACUGCUUCUAGUCUCAGUCAUGUUCAUCAUCUAAUUGUCGAUGAUCAUUUUCAUUGAUCAUCUUUUCUAAUCACAAAUUGUAUUAAUAACUCACUCAAUUUACGUUUGGACUCAACUGGAAUGAAAAGAGUUGGAACAUAAUUCCACAAUUAAUAUUUGUACCGAUUCAGAACUUUAGAUUCGAGUAGUUGAAUACCGACAACUGAAUGAACAUUGGACAUUCACUUUACUUUGCCAAAAAUCACGAGAAACGGAAAAUGGUACACAUCGUGUUCUGAGUCAACUGUUGGUGACACAAAGAUGAUCUUGAACAAAAUUGUCGAUUCUCCUUGUUGCUCAAGUUUCGUGAUUAAAUUAACUCGACCAAUUAAACUCUUUCCAUUUUUACUAUCAAUAUUUUCUAAUCGCCUACAAAUUAUGAUAAAAGACAA